rnacentral:pre_miRNA from 1 species
GUCCACAAACUUUGUAAACACAUUUUUGGGUCCCUAAACUUGUUAUGUGGUGCAGCGCACAUCCCUAAACUUAUAAAAUGGUGCACCGCAGGUCCAUUUCUGGACCAUACCGACCACUGUGGUGCGCCACUUAACAAGUUUAGGGAUCUAGAAAUGCGUUUUCAAAGUUCGUGGGC